rnacentral:tRNA from 1 species
GGGGUUGUGGCUUAGUGGUAGAGCACUCACCUAGAACGUGCGAUGUACUAGGUUCGAUCCUCAGCACCA